GACGAACGCUGGCGGCGUGCUUAACACAUGCAAGUCGAACGGAAAGGCCCUGCUUUUGUGGGGUGCUCGAGUGGCGCACGGGUGAGUAACACGUGAGUAACCUGCCCUUGACUUUGGGAUAACUUCAGGAAACUGGGGCUAAUACCGGAUAGGAGCUCCUGCUGCAUGGUGGGGGUUGGAAAGUUUCGGCGGUUGGGGAUGGACUCGCGGCUUAUCAGCUUGUUGGUGGGGUAGUGGCUUACCAAGGGUUUGACGGGUAGCCGGCCUGAGAGGGUGACCGGGCACAUUGGGACUGAGAUACGGCCCAGACUCCUACGGGAGGCAGCAGUGGGGAAUAUUGCACAAUGGGCGGAAGCCUGAUGCAGCAACGCCGCGUGCGGGAUGACGGCCUUCGGGUUGUAAACCGCUUUCGCCUGUGACGAAGCGUGAGUGACGGUAAUGGGUAAAGAAGCACCGGCUAACUACGUG
rnacentral:rRNA from 1 species